rnacentral:misc_RNA from 1 species
ACAAACACUCAAAUCUGAAACAAUAUUCUAAAUGCAAUAUGCACUUGUCAUUCCAGUAAGCUCCGAAAUCAUUUGUCCAUGUCUCUCCAUUGCCAAAACAGGGAUUGUCUGCACUAUGGCUAUAUAUCCGAUCACUGGGGGUGGAACCAUGGAGGAAAAGGAGGAUGGUAACAUGCCCCAUGUGGAUAUGGUGGUGGUUGGUGUAGCAGUGGUGGUGGUUGGUUUAGCAGCGGCGGUGGCAGUAGCAUUGAUGCUGGGCAAUAGGCAUGAGGAGCUGGAGCAGGAGGAUAAUGACUGGAAUAUUGGGUUCCAUGAGAUGGGUAGCUAACUUGGGCAGCAUGGUAAGUUUCCUGGGGACUAUCUUCCAAUUCUAUAGAUGGAUAGUAAACUCCAAGAGAUGAGCUCUCAACUUCGGAUGUGGGAUAUUGAAUCUCAGGAGACUG